UGAGGAAUAUUGGACAAUGGGCGCAAGCCUGAUCCAGCCAUGCCGCGUGGGUGAAGAAGGCCUUCGGGUUGUAAAGCCCUUUUGUCCGGAAAGAAAUCCUGUCGGUUAAUACCCGGCGGGGAUGACGGUACCGGAAGAAUAAGCACCGGCUAACUUCGUGCCAGCAGCCGCGGUAAUACGAAGGGUGCAAGCGUUACUCGGAAUUACUGGGCGUAAAGCGUGCGUAGGCGGUUCGUUAAGUCCGAUGUGAAAGCCCUGGGCUCAACCUGGGAACUGCAUUGGAUACUGGCGAGCUAGAGUGCGGUAGAGGAUGGUGGAAUUCCCGGUGUAGCGGUGAAAUGCGUAGAGAUCGGGAGGAACACCAGUGGCGAAGGCGGCCAUCUGGACCAGCACUGACGCUGAGGCACGAAAGCGUGGGGAGCAAACA
rnacentral:rRNA from 1 species